CGGGCCGUGGCCUAGCUUGGUAAGGCGCCACACUGGGGGUGUGGAGACCGCGAGUUCAAAUCUCGCCGGCCCGA
rnacentral:tRNA from 1 species